rnacentral:rRNA from 2 species
UGGGGAAUAUUGCACAAUGGGCGCAAGCCUGAUGCAGCGACGCCGCGUGAGGGAUGGAGGCCUUCGGGUUGUAAACCUCUUUUAUCGGGGAGCAAGCGAGAGUGAGUUUACCCGUUGAAUAAGCACCGGCUAACUACGUGCCAGCAGCCGCGGUAAUACGUAGGGUGCAAGCGUUAUCCGGAAUUAUUGGGCGUAAAGGGCUCGUAGGCGGUUCGUCGCGUCCGGUGUGAAAGUCCAUCGCUUAACGGUGGAUCCGCGCCGGGUACGGGCGGGCUUGAGUGCGGUAGGGGAGACUGGAAUUCCCGGUGUAACGGUGGAAUGUGUAGAUAUCGGGAAGAACACCAAUGGCGAAGGCAGGUCUCUGGGCCGUUACUGACGCUGAGGAGCGAAAGCGUGGGGAGCGAACAGGAUUAGAUACCCUGGUAGUCCACGCCGUAAACGGUGGAUGCUGGAUGUGGGGCCCGUUCCACGGGUUCCGUGUCGGAGCUAACGCGUUAAGCAUCCCGCCUGGGGAGUACGGCCGCAAGGCUAAAACUCAAAGAAAUUGACGGGGGCCCGCACAAGCGGCGGAGCAUGCGGAUUAAUUCGAUGCAACGCGAAGAACCUUACCUGGGCUUGACAUGUUCCCGACGGUCGUAGAGAUACGGCUUCCCUUCGGGGCGGGUUCACAGGUGGUGCAUGGUCGUCGUCAGCUCGUGUCGUGAGAUGUUGGGUUAAGUCCCGCAACGAGCGCAACCCUCGCCCCGUGUUGCCAGCGGAUUAUGCCGGGAACUCACGGGGGACCGCCGGGGUUAACUCGGAGGAAGGUGGGGAUGACGUCAGAUCAUCAUGCCCCUUACGUCCAGGGCUUCACGCAUGCUACAAUGGCCGGUACAACGGGAUGCGACGCGGCGACGCGGAGCGGAUCCCUGAAAACCGGUCUCAGUUCGGAUCGCAGUCUGCAACUCGACUGCGUGAAGGCGGAGUCGCUAGUAAUCGCGAAUCAGCAACGUCGCGGUGAAUGCGUUCCC